rnacentral:rRNA from 1 species
AGUUUGAUCCUGGCUCAGAUUGAACGCUGGCGGCAGGCUUAACACAUGCAAGUCGAGCGGGGAAAGGUAGCUUGCUACCUUACCUAGCGGCGGACGGGUGAGUAAUGCUUAGGAAUCUGCCUAUUAGUGGGGGACAACAUUUCGAAAGGAAUGCUAAUACCGCAUACGCCCUACGGGGGAAAGCAGGGGACCUUCGGGCCUUGCGCUAAUAGAUGAGCCUAAGUCGGAUUAGCUAGUUGGUGGGGUAAAGGCCUACCAAGGCGACGAUCUGUAGCGGGUCUGAGAGGAUGAUCCGCCACACUGGGACUGAGACACGGCCCAGACUCCUACGGGAGGCAGCAGUGGGGAAUAUUGGACAAUGGGGGGAACCCUGAUCCAGCCAUGCCGCGUGUGUGAAGAAGGCCUUUUGGUUGUAAAGCACUUUAAGCGAGGAGGAGGCUCCCAGUAUUAAUACUACUGGAGAGUGGACGUUACUCGCAGAAUAAGCACCGGCUAACUCUGUGCCAGCAGCCGCGGUAAUACAGAGGGUGCAAGCGUUAAUCGGAUUUACUGGGCGUAAAGCGUGCGUAGGUGGCCAAUUAAGUCAAAUGUGAAAUCCCCGAGCUUAACUUGGGAAUUGCAUUCGAUACUGGUUGGCUAGAGUAUGGGAGAGGAUGGUAGAAUUCCAGUGUAGCGGUGAAAUGCGUAGAGAUCUGGAGGAAUACCGAUGGCGAAGCAGCCAUCUGGGCCUAAUACUGACACUGAGGUACGAAAGCAUGGGGAGCAAACAGGAUUAGAUACCCUGGUAGUCCAUGCCGUAAACGAUGUCUACUAGCCGUUGGGGUCUUUGAG